ensembl:snoRNA
UGGGAGCCGAAAGUAGUGGUCUAAUUGUCACAAUACUCCCUAGAACAAAUGUGCCUUUUGAUGCCUGGGAAGAAUUGAGUAAAAUCAUAUUGGGAAGAUAUAGGGCAGCCGGUU